GUCUUGUCAUCCCUUGAACAAGUCUGUCUUCUCUCUCUUUUUUUUUUUGAGACAGAGUCUCGCUCUUUCGCCCAGGCCGGACUGCAGUGGCACUAUCUCGGCUCACUGCAAGCUCCGCCUCCCGGGUUCACGCCACUCUCUUGCCUCAGCCUCCCUAGUAGCUGGGACUACAGGCGCCCGCUACCGCGUCUGGCUAAUUUUUUGUAUUUUUAGUAGAGACGGGGUUUCACCCCGUUAACCAGAGAGAAUGGGCAAGGGGUCAUCGAUGGACCGGAGAUGGGAUGGUAGGGACAGAAACUGCAGGGUCCGCAGAAGGAACUGCUCACCGAAAGCCAACAAGCUUGCCCUGUGGAAUCCCAGAAAGGCCCAGGAACUUCGGGACAUCACUGAAGGCAGAGUGAAGAGAGGAAGAGAAGACAGAGAAAUGGAGGGGAGAAAACUAUUAAAAUAAGUAAUAAGAAAACUUUCCCCAGAAGUGCAGAAUCUGAAUUUCCAGUAUAAAAGGGUCCAUUGAGCGCCAAGAACAAUGAAGGAAAAAAGGUCCCACUCAGGCCUACGUAUCAUUGUGAAAUUUCAGAACUAGAGGGAUAAAGAAAAGAUCCUAAAAGCUUCCCGAGAGAUAAAAAAGAAGAUUUUUACAAAGGAUCAGCAAUCAGAAUUGCCUCAGACUGCUCAAUAAAAACAUCAGAAGCUAGAAGAAAAUAGAAUGAGGCAUCAAAAUCCUGAGGGAAAUGAUUCCCACCUAUAAUUUCAUAUUCUGCUCAAUUAUCAAUUGAGUAUUGAAGGGAAAUAAAGACAUUUUUAGACAUGC
rnacentral:lncRNA from 1 species